GAUCCUGGCUCAGGAUGAACGCUGGCGGCGUGCUUAACACAUGCAAGUCGAACGGAACUCCUGUGUUUAAGGUUUCGGCCAAGAAGACAGGAAGUUUAGUGGCGGACGGGUGAGUAACGCGUGAGUAACCUGCCUUGGAGUGGGGAAUAACACAGUGAAAACUGUGCUAAUACCGCAUAAUGCAUUUGGGUCGCAUGAUUCUGAAUGCCAAAGAUUUAUCGCUCUGAGAUGGACUCGCG
rnacentral:rRNA from 1 species